UACGAAGGGGGCUAGCGUUGCUCGGAAUCACUGGGCGUAAAGCGCACGUAGGCGGCUUUUUAAGUCAGGGGUGAAAUCCUGGAGCUCAACUCCAGAACUGCAUUUGAUACUGGGAAGCUUGAGUCCGGAAGAGGUGAGUGGAACUCCGAGUGUAGAGGUGAAAUUCGUAGAUAUUCGGAAGAACACCAGUGGCGAAGGCGGCUCACUGGUCCGUUACUGACGCUGAGGUGCGAAAGCGUGGGGAGCAAACAGG
rnacentral:rRNA from 1 species